UACGUAGGGGGCUAGCGUUGUCCGGAAUCAUUGGGCGUAAAGAGCGUGUAGGCGGCUCGGUAAGUCCGCUGUAAAAGUCAAAGGCUCAACCUUUGAAUGUCAGUGGAUACUGCCGGGCUAGAGUCCGGAAGAGGCGAGUGGAACUCCUGGUGUAGCGGUGGAAUGCGCAGAUAUCAGGAAGAACACCAACGGGCGAAGGCAGCUCGCUGGGACGGUACUGACGCUGGAGACGCGAAAGCGUGGGGAGCGAACAGG
rnacentral:rRNA from 1 species